rnacentral:rRNA from 1 species
UGGCCACGAAGGUCCAUCGGGAAAUCCAUCCGCUCAACGGAUGGGCGUCCGGUGGAAACCGCGUGGCUUGGGACCGGAAGAUCCGAGGGGUACGUCCGGGGUAGGAGUGAAAUCCCGUAAUCCUGGACGGACCGCCGAUGGCGAAAGCACCUCGGAAGGACGGAUCCGACAGUGAGGGACGAAAGCUAGGGUCUCGAACCGGAUUAGAUACCCGGGUAGUCCUAGCCGUAAACGAUGUUCGCUAGGUGUGACACAGGCUACGAGCCUGUGUUGUGCCGUAGGGAAGCCGAGAAGCGAACCGCUUGGGAA